rnacentral:rRNA from 1 species
UAAUACAGAGACUGCAAGCGUUAUUCGGAUUCACUGGGCGUAAAGGGUGCGCAGGCGGCCAAGUGUGUCAGGUGUGAAAUCCCGAGGCUUAACCUCGGAACUGCGCCUGAAACUACUUGGCUAGAGUACUGGAGAGGGUAACGGAAUUCACGGUGUAGCAGUGAAAUGCGUAGAUAUCGUGAGGAACACCAGAGGCGAAGGCGGUUACCUGGACAGUUACUGACGCUCAGGCACGAAAGCGUGGGGAGCAAAAGGGAUUAGAUACCCCUGUAGUCCACGCCCUAAACGGUGCACACUAGGUCUUGGCGGAUUCGAUCCCACCAGGGCCCAAGCUAACGCGUUAAGUGUGCCGCCUGAGGACUACGGUCGCAAGACUA